GACGAACGCUGGCGGCGUGCCUAAUACAUGCAAGUAGAACGCUGAAGGAGGAGCUUGCUUCUCUGGAUGAGUUGCGAACGGGUGAGUAACGCGUAGGUAACCUGCCUGGUAGCGGGGGAUAACUAUUGGAAACGAUAGCUAAUACCGCAUAAGAGUAGAUGUUGCAUGACAUUUGCUUAAAAGGUGCAAUUGCAUCACUACCAGAUGGACCUGCGUUGUAUUAGCUAGUUGGUGGGGUAACGGCUCACCAAGGCGACGAUACAUAGCCGACCUGAGAGGGUGAUCGGCCACACUGGGACUGAGACACGGCCCAGACUCCUACGGGAGGCAGCAGUAGGGAAUCUUCGGCAAUGGACGGAAGUCUGACCGAGCAACGCCGCGUGAGUGAAGAAGGUUUUCGGAUCGUAAAGCUCUGUUGUAAGAGAAGAACGAGUGUGAGAGUG
rnacentral:rRNA from 1 species